rnacentral:rRNA from 1 species
AUUGAACGCUGGCGGCAGGCCUAACACAUGCAAGUCGAACGGUAACAGGAAGAAGCUUGCUUCUUUGCUGCCGAGUGGCGGACGGGUGAGUAAUGUCUGGGAAACUGCCUGAUGGAGGGGGAUAACUACUGGAAACGGUAGCUAAUACCGCAUAACGUCGCAAGCCCAAAGAGGGGGACCUUCGGGCCUCUUGCCAUCGGAUGUGCCCAGAUGGGAUUAGCUAGUAGGUGGGGUAACGGCUUACCUAGGCGACGAUCCCUAGCUGGUCUGAGAGGAUGACCAGCCACACUGGAACUGAGACACGGUCCAGACUCCUACGGGAGGCAGCAGUGGGGAAUAUUGCACAAUGGGCGCAAGCCUGAUGCAGCCAUGCCGCGUGUAUGAAGAAGGCCUUCGGGUUGUAAAGUACUUUCAGCGGGGAGGAAGGGAGUAAAGUUAAUACCUUGGCUCAUUGACGUUACCCGCAGAAGAAGCACCGGCUAACUCCGUG